rnacentral:snRNA from 1 species
GCUCGGGGGUCCCAGUUCC